UACGAAGGGGGCUAGCGUUGCUCGGAAUCACUGGGCGUAAAGCGCACGUAGGCGGCUUUCUAAGUCAGGGGUGAAAUCCUGGAGCUCAACUCCAGAACUGCCUUUGAUACUGGGGAGCUUGAGUCCGGAAGAGGUGAGUGGAACUCCGAGUGUAGAGGUGAAAUUCGUAGAUAUUCGGAAGAACACCAGUGGCGAAGGCGGCUCACUGGUCCGGUACUGACGCUGAUGUGCGAAAGCGUGGGGAGCAAACAGG
rnacentral:rRNA from 1 species